CAAUAUGUAGACAUAAUUGGUAGAUGCUUGACUUAUCCUGUUGGUUCUCGGCUUACAGCAAGUGAGCUAGUUAUUAUUUUUAAGUCUGCGCAAUUCAUUGAUUUGAAAAAGCACUAUGGAUUCCAGUGGUAAUAUGCAUAGUGAGCCGCCUGAGACUGCCUCCAGCGCGCAGUUAACAGAAUAUAGCAGCGGAUCUUUGUUAAGAUAUAUCGGUGGACUUAAGUUACGUUUUUUAGUCACUGAGCCCUUAGCU